rnacentral:rRNA from 1 species
GAUGAACGCUGGCGGCGUGCCUAAUACAUGCAAGUCGAGCGAACAGACGAGGAGCUUGCUCCUCUGACGUUAGCGGCGGACGGGUGAGUAACACGUGGAUAACCUACCUAUAAGACUGGGAUAACUUCGGGAAACCGGAGCUAAUACCGGAUAAUAUAUUGAACCGCAUGGUUCAAUAGUGAAAGACGGUCUUGCUGUCACUUAUAGAUGGAUCCGCGCCGCAUUAGCUAGUUGGUAAGGUAACGGCUUACCAAGGCAACGAUGCGUAGCCGACCUGAGAGGGGGAUCGGCCAAACUGGAACUGGGACACGGGCCAGACUCCUACGGGAGGCAGCAGGAGGGAAUCUUCCGCAAUGGGCGGAAGCCUUACGGAGCAACGCCGCGUGGGUGAUGAAGGUCUUCGGAUCGUAAAACUCUGGUAUUAGGGAAGAACAAAUGUGUAAGUAACUAUGCACGUCUUGACGGUACCUAAUCAGAAAGCCACGGCUAACUACGUG